UCUCAGUGAUGAAAACUUUGUCAAGUUAUGCUACUGACAUUAAGUGAUGAUGAAGUGUGUCUGAAGAUA
ensembl:snoRNA